rnacentral:rRNA from 1 species
UACAGAGGUCCCGAGCGUUGUUCGGAUUCACUGGGCGUAAAGGGUGCGCAGGUGGCCGGGUAAGUUUGAUGUGAAAGCCCCGGGCUUAACCCGGGAAUGGCAUUGGAUACUAUCCGGCUGGAGGGUUGGAGGGGGGACUGGAAUUCUUGGUGUAGCAGUGAAAUGCGUGGAUAUCAAGAGGAACACCAGUGGCGAAGGCGGGUCCCUGGACAACACCUGACACUGAGGCACGAAAGCCAAGGGAGCAAACAGG